rnacentral:rRNA from 1 species
UACAGAGGUCUCAAGCGUUGUUCGGAUUCAUUGGGCGUAAAGGGUGUGUAGGUGGCGCGCUAAGUCGGGUGUGAAAUUUCGGAGCUUAACUCCGAAACUGCAUUCGAUACUGGCGUGCUUGAGGACUGGAGAGGAGACUGGAAUUCAUGGUGUAGCAGUGAAAUGCGUAGAGAUCAUGAGGAAGACCAGUGGCGAAGGCGGGUCUCUGGACGAUUCCUGACACUGAGACACGAAGGCCAGGGGAGGCAAACGGG